UCGAGCGAGAAAGGGUCGCAAGACCUGAGUAAAGCGGCGCACGGGUGCGUAACACGUGGGUAAUCUGCCUCCGAGACCGGAAUAACUCUUCGAAAGGAGAACUAAUACCGGGUAAGCCCACGGCUCCUUCGGGAGCUGUGGGAAAAGAUGGCCUCUGUAUACAAGCUAUCGCUUGGAGAUGAGCCCGCGGCCCAUCAUGCUAGUUGGCGGGGUAACGGCCCACCAAGGCUACGACGGGUAGCUGGUCUGAGAGGACGAUCAGCCACACUGGAACUGAGACACGGUCCAGACUCCUACGGGAGGCAGCAGUGGGGAAUCUUGCGCAAUGGGCGAAAGCCUGACGCAGCAACGCCGCGUGAGUGAUGAAGGCCUUCGGGUCGUAAAGCUCUUUCGGAAGGGACGAAACCGUCUCGGGAUAAUACCCCGAGGCCUUGACGGUACCUUAAGAAGAAGCACCGGCUAACUCUGUGCCAGCAGCCGCGGUAAUACAGAGGGUGCAAGCGUUGUUCGGAAUUAUUGGGCGUAAAGCGCGUGUAGGCGGCAAGGCAUGUCGGGUGUGAAAGCCCUCGGCUUAACCGAGGAAGUGCGCCCGAAACUACUUUGCUUGAGUACCGGAGAGGAUGGCGGAAUUCCCGGUGUAGAGGUGAAAUUCGUAGAUAUCGGGAGGAACACCAGUGGCGAAGGCGGCCAUCUGGACGGAUACUGACGCUGAGACGCGAAAGCGUGGGGAGCAAACAGGAUUAGAUACCCUGGUAGUCCACGCUGUAAACGAUGGGCGCUAGGUGUCGCGGGUGUUGACCCCUGCGGUGCCGUAGCUAACGCAUUAAGCGCCCCGCCUGGGAAGUACGGCCGUAAGGCUAAAACUCAAAGGAAUG
rnacentral:rRNA from 1 species